AGUGAACGCUGGCGGUAGGCCUAACACAUGCAAGUCGAACGGCAGCACAGUAAGAGCUUGCUCUUACGGGUGGCGAGUGGCGGACGGGUGAGGAAUACAUCGGAAUCUACUUUUUCGUGGGGGAUAACGUAGGGAAACUUACGCUAAUACCGCAUACGACCUACGGGUGAAAGCAGGGGAUCUUCGGACCUUGCGCGAUUGAAUGAGCCGAUGUCGGAUUAGCUAGUUGGCGAGGUAAAGGCCCACCAAGGCGACGAUCCGUAGCUGGUCUGAGAGGAUGAUCAGCCACACUGGAACUGAGACACGGCCCAGACUCCUACGGGAGGCAGCAGUGGGGAAUAUUGGACAAUGGGCGCAAGCCUGAUCCAGCCAUACCGCGUGGGUGAAGAAGGCCUUCGGGUUGUAAAGCCCUUUUGUUGGGAAAGAAAAGCAGCAGGUUAAUACCCCGCUGUUCUGACGGUACCCAAAGAAUAAGCACCGGCUAACUUCGUG
rnacentral:rRNA from 1 species